AGAGUGAAACUCAAAGGAAUUGACGGGGACCCGCACAAGUAGCGGAGCAUGUGGUUUAAUUCGAAGCAACGCGAAGAGCCUUACCUAAGCUUGACAUCCCAAUGACAUCUCCUUAAUCGGAGAGUUCUCUUCGGGGACAUUGGUGACAGGUGGUGCAUGGUUGUCGUCAGCUCGUGUCG
rnacentral:rRNA from 1 species